AGCACAAGUGCCCCUCAGACCGCACAGCAGGGGGCGUUCAAAUAACUGACUAAUAUUUUUGGGAGCUCUGUAAGUUUUGGAUGUAGUGAAGCUUUGGAAAGGGGGCAGUCUCUCAUUUAUUUUUCUGCUGCCUCCUGACUU
ensembl:ncRNA K08A8.21 ncRNA